rnacentral:rRNA from 1 species
UUAGAGGAAGUAAAAGUCGUAACAAGGUUUCCGUAGGUGAACCUGCGGAAGGAUCAUUAUUGAAAWAAACCUGAUGGGUUGUUGCUGGUUCUCUAGGGAGCAUGUGCACACUUGUCAUCUUUAUAUCUCCACCUGUGCACUUUUUGUAGACUUGGAUAAUCUUUCUGAAUGCACUUGCAUUUCAGGUUUGAGGAAUUGACUUCAUGUCUCUCCUUACGUUUCCAGGUCUAUGUUUCUUCAUAUACCCCUAUGUAUGUUUCAGAAUGUAACAGGAUGGGCCUCUUGUGCCUAUAAAUUUAUACAACUUUCAGCAACGGAUCUCUUGGCUCUCGCAUCGAUGAAGAACGCAGCGAAAUGCGAUAAGUAAUGUGAAUUGCAGAAUUCAGUGAAUCAUCGAAUCUUUGAACGCACCUUGCGCUCCUUGGUAUUCCGAGGAGCAUGCCUGUUUGAGUGUCAUUAAUAUAUCAAUCUCUUCAGCUUAUGCUUGUUGAGUGUUGGAUGGUGGGGGUUUGCUGGUGUCUUAUGAAGUCAGCUCCCCUGAAAUGCAUUAGCGGAACAAUUUGUUGACUGUUCAUUGGUGUGAUAAAAUAUCUACGCUAUUGACGUCAGUCAGUUCAGCUUCUAACAGUCCAUUGACUUGGACAAAUUUUCAUUAAUGUGACCUCAAAUCAGGUAGGACUACCCGCUGAACUUAAGCAUAUCAAUAAGCGGAGGAAAAGAAACUAACAAGGAUUCCCCUAGUAACUGCGAGUGAAGCGGGAAAAGCUCAAAUUUAAAAUCUGGCAGUCUUUGGCUGUCCGAGUUGUAAACUAGAGAAGUGUUAUCCGCGCUGGACCCGUGUACAAGUCUCCUGGAAUGGAGCGUCAUAGAGGG